GCGGGCGUGGUGUAGCCCGGUCAACACGAUCGCUUGUCACGCGAUAGAUCGCCGGUUCAAAUCCGGUCGCCCGCG
rnacentral:tRNA from 3 species